GAAUUGCUGACAAGGGAGCUGAUAUUGUCCGGAUAACAGUUCAAGGAAAAAGAGAAGCAGAUGCAUGCUUUGAGAUAAAGAACUCUCUUGUGCAGAAAAAUUACAAUAUCCCGCUGGUAGCAGGUAUUCAUUUCUCACCUUCAGUUGCACUGCGGGUGGCUGAAUGCUUUGACAAGAUUCGUGUUAAUCCAGGAAAUUUUGCUGAUAGAAGGGUUCAGUUCGAGCAGAUAGAAUACACAGAGGAGGAGUACCAGAAAGAACUUGAGCAUAUUGAAC